rnacentral:misc_RNA from 1 species
AGCAGCCGCGGUAAUUCCAGCUCCAAUAGCGUAUAUUAAAGUUGUUGCAGUUAAAAAGCUCGUAGUUGAAUUUCGGGAUUAAUAUGUUGGUCGUGCCUUGGUACGUACUGGCAUUAUUGAUUCCUACCUUCUGAAGAACCUCGAUGUCAUUAAUUUGGUGUCUUGGGGAAUCAGGACCGUUACUUUGAGAAAAUUAGAGUGUUUAAAGCAGGCUCGCGCUUGAAUACAUUAGCAUGGAAUAAUGAAAUAGGACGUUUGAUUCUAUUUUGUUGGUUUCUAGGAUCGACGUAAUGAUUAAUAGGGAUAGUUGGGGGCAUUAGUAUUCAAUUGUCAGAGGUGAAAUUCUUGGAUUUAUUGAAGACUGACUACUGCGAAAGCAUUUGCCAAGGAUGUUUUCAUUAAUCAAGAACGAAAGUUAGGGGAUCGAAGACGAUCAGAUACCGUCGUAGUCUUAACCAUAAAC